GAAGGAGAAGAAGGUGAAGAAAUGGCGUCCAAGGAUUUGAGUUCAUCUGAUUGGAGUGUGAAGUUUCUGUGCUUUCUCAUGGUGGUCAUCCUUCAUUCGAUCAUCGUCUCUGCAACAGGCCAUUGUGGCGCAGGUGGAGCAGAUCCAGACCACCCAAACCCGUCCCCUGGAUGUACAUGAGGUACUUGUACUCAAACAAUGGAGGGAUCGGCGUCAGGUGUUAAGUCGUUCUUGG